UCGAACGAAAGGGCAUGUGUUUGGAUCGGAGAGAGAGAGGGGAGUACGGUUCGGGUUCUUAGAUUUGUUGAGUUCCGAGGAGGUUUAUUAUCGUCGGCGUCUUGAUCUUCGCUGGAGAUACCUUCAACGUUAUCACUUCCAGAUCUGCUCUCAUGCUCCUCUUCACGGCUUCUCCUGUUCGUCGCACUCCCUUCAAAAUUAUUAUCGUUAUUGUUGUUCCUCAUGGACGCUUCUCCACGGUUUGUGAUGAGCAGCUUCGGGUAUAGAUCGGCAUGGAGAAGCGUCUUCAAUUCUUGUGGAAUUCCACCUACACCAUCUUCGUUGCAUAUAAAUACAAAUUGUAUGAGAGACGAAGCCAAAUCCUUUUGUUUUUCCUAAUUCUGAACUUCUGUUCAUUCUCAUUAAAACGUUCUACCAUGGCGACUUUUCAAGUUUAUUUCUCGGAGUUCACACCAGACUACUUUAAUUUUGGGAGGCCCGUCAUGUGAAGAAACGCAGGGAGCUGAUGGGCGUUCAUAUACUGCUUAUUGAUACAAAGGGGACCCUCUUCGAAGCCUCUAUCAGUGUUCACCGCCUUAACAACGCUUAAAAGAAGGCUCCUUUUAUGAGCUGAGUGAUUUUCAUGUUGCAAGAAGCAACCCCAAAUUCAGGUUUGGUAACGCUCUCCUGUUGCGAUUAGAUUUUCGGAACAACCCGUUUAGGUUGAGCUCGCAGAACCGAGUCAACAGAUCCUGGCUGACCGGUUUAGGUUCUGCAAGCAUGACCAACUCAUGUUACUCUUCAACACCAACACUGUUUGCCAGAAUCGGAGAAAUUAGGAGUAUCAAAACGUUUUCAACAAGGAGACCCAACAACGAUGAGUAUGUCGCCGUCAGUAUCUGAAAAGGAAUGAAUAAAAUAAAGACAAACAAGAGCUUUUAGCUGAAGAGAGAGAUUACAAGCGUCGAAGAAUGUGAAACCGUGGCAAGAAGUUGAAACGAACGCCUCGACAGGUGUUGUGUGAUAUGAUUGAAGGAUUUACAGAAGAAAUUAAGCUAGCAGGAGGUAUUGGAUGUUUUGAGAAGAGAAUGUCAUUAUUCUCCUCCUCUUUUAUAGGUCGUCCAUUCUUCAACGCAACCUCCGGAAGACACUUCUACUUUCACUAGGAAACUCUUGCCAGCAACAGGUUUCAUAAAGUAAUGUGUGGUUCUGAAACUGGCUCAUCCUCGACUUCUUUCAGUGAUUUAGAUGUUCAGAAAAUUGAAUCUGUCACGCUAUCGGAGCUGAAUGCCUAUGUCGUUAAUUCUAUCCCACAGGAAACUGAAUUCCUCUGCAAAGCCAAAGUCAGUGACAUCUCCUGUACUAGUGCUAUCGAAAGCUACAGCAUGGCUUCACAUCUUUUACAUGUGCCUGGUGUAAUGACGAGAAGGCUGUUAGGGACUUAGGGUAGUACGGUGAUGUAUUCUCACAUCAAUAGCACUGAUCGUUUAUGCAUCAUAUGCGCCUCUCCUGAAAUUUACGCCUAACUAACACCUGUUAACCUAACACUUGCAACAAGUUUUUCAGCUUUAAAUAUAGGCAUCACCAAGGUGUUCCAGUGAACAACAACCGAUGCGAGUCUGGUCCAAAUGUUGAAUAUGCGGUCACUGCACCACCGCUACAAGCUCCAACUGUGGCAGACGCAAGCUCCAUGGAGGAUCGUGCUCGAACCGAAGAGAACGAAAUGCAAAGUAGGCGCGCAAGGAGUGAUCACUUAAUUUUUUGGAGAUGAUGAACCUGCUACACAUUAUGAAGUUCCACCAGCAGUUUUAACGUUUUAAAUUUUGUUGCAAUAAUUAUAUCAUCCAAUUAUCUGAAAGCACUAAUUAUUUGGAUUUAAUCUCUUCACAACAAAAUAGUGACAAGCAAAAAUACAAUCUA